AUAAAAAUGCAUCCAAUGAUAAAUAUUCACACACAAGUACAUAUAAACACAUAUUAAAACAAUUAAAAAUAAUUCUAGCGAAAAUCAGGCUGUUACAAUCUCAGCCACACAUUACAAUCGGAUGAUCCUGAUUCGUUACAGUGUCAAACAACGUGCUUUUUUUACAGCACCAAAUCCAAAUUCCGUUGGCCUCCUCAAAUGUACAAAAUGGUCAAAAAUAUCAAAAACAUUUUACUUUCAACAUUAAUAUGAUACAAUAGGCAAAUAAGAAAACUCCUAAAAGAAUAUUUACACCAAAGCAAAUCUAUAUUGAAUGUUCAUCUUCUUUCCUAAACUUUCUUUCUUAAAGCAUUAAUCGAUCACAUGCCUAUGCAGGAAAAAUAAAGUUAAAAUAACAUAUCGAGCCUUGAGUGUCUGCGACAGUUCCUGGUCGCGAUUGUCAAAGAGUAACCGAGAGUUUGCAACAGUUUUCGGUGGCAAUGAAUCACCGCCGACGCUGACUAAGUUUGAAGAAGUUAUUAAGGUUUUAGUGUUUGAACGAUUCUCGACUGCGAUGAAUCACCACCAAGUGAAUUGCGACAGUAAAACUUCAAAAUUUCAAAUAGGAUGAAAUCAACAUGUAUUUAAUCGUACAAAACGAUACAAAUAAAAAGAAUAAUAUCAUGUAACAGAAAGCCAGACAUAAAAAAA
rnacentral:lncRNA from 1 species